GGGAGUUUCAUAUAUAUCGAAACGACAUCCCGAAAUCGAAAAAAGAACAGGGAAAUUCCAAAAGAGGAGUCGGAGGCAAAUCGCGAUCCAGGAUUGAUCUCAGAAACCCUAGAUUCAAACCGUCUGAUAACAAAUCCAUUUUCUGGGGUUUCUUGAGCAUCAACUGACAUUCAUGCCCACGAAAAUUGAGUUUUUUUUUUCUCUUCAUUUAACAUCAACGUGAAGGAACACUGAGAGAGGAGCGGAUCGAUCAAUGGUGAUUGUAUCUGUGUGGUUGUUGCAGUGGAGUUGAUUGAGGGAGUGUGGGAAUUGAGAUGAGAGGUGAGUGUUUGUGGGGACAAUGAAUGGAGGGUCAUUGGGUAUGCGUUCAGGGAGUUAUGGCUCAUUGCUGCAGCAGCAACAACAGCAACAACAACUUCAGAACGGUGGUUUGUUGCCCGUUCAAGCGACGCCGCUUCCUCCUCCUCUUCCGGGCUAUUCCCUUGGCCGCAAGCCGCCCAAGAUGGUCAAAGAGAAGGAGAGGUUUGUUCAUUGGAUCUGUAAGUUUGCCGGCCGCAAGAAGGUUGGAAUGCUGCUGCUUUGCGUAGUCUCUGCCGCGGUUUUCGUUUGGGUUUUGUACGUUGGCAAAGGUGAAGAUGCACGAGAAGUUGAUAGUGUGGGAAAACUUGGAGCCAAUGGCAGCCCGGCUUUCGUUUAUACUAAAUCUUUUAGUACACGCUCUCUUGAUUUAUACAGAAUGAACAAUAGUUCUUUUGUGAGAAGUGAAAGUGUAGCGCAGCCUCCUCCUCCUCCUCCUCCUCCUCCUCCUGCCCCAGUGUUUUUGGGGUAUAACCUUCCUCCAGGGCAUCCAUGUGAAAAUUUUGCAUUGCCGCCCCCACCAGCCGAUAAAAAACGAACUGGACCACGGCCAUGUCCAGUAUGUUACCUUCCUGUGGAAGAAGCCAUCGCCUUAAUGCCAAAAUACCCAUCACCUUCUCCCUUACUUAAUAAUUUAACAUUUGUCUAUGAGGAAAAUUUAACCAAAGGUGAUUCAUUUGGCGGCUCUGACUUUGGUGGAUAUCCUUCUCUGGAGCAGCGGGCUAAUUCUUAUGAUAUAAGAGAAUCAAUGACUGUGCACUGCGGAUUUGUCAGAGGAGCUAAACCUGGUCAGCGGACAGGAUUCGACAUGGAUGAUUCUGACCUUUUUGAGAUGGAGCAAUGUCAUGGUGUGGUUGUUGCAUCUGCAAUAUUUGGAAACUAUGAUGUGAUACAACAGCCAAAGAAUAUUAGUGAUGCUGCAAAAGAGAAUGUCUGCUUCUAUAUGUUUGUGGAUGAAGAAACCGAAGCUCAUUUAAAGAAUUCUUCUGGUUUGGAUGACAACAAGAGGGUUGGAUUGUGGAGAAUUGUUGUUGUUCACAACCUCCCUUACAAUGAUGCAAGACGCAAUGGAAAGGUUCCAAAGCUUCUACUGCAUAGGAUGUUCCCUAAUGCUCGCUAUUCUCUGUGGAUUGAUGGAAAGCUUGAGCUUGUGGUGGAUCCAUUUCAAAUUCUUGAAAGGUUCCUGUGGAGGAAAAAUGCCAGUUUUGCAAUCUCUAGACAUUAUAGACGUUUUGAUGUGUUUGUAGAAGCUGAGGCAAAUAAAGCUGCUGCGAAGUAUGAUAAUGCAUCGAUAGAUUUUCAGGUUGAGUUUUAUAAAAGUGAGGGUUUAACACCAUAUUCUGAGGCUAAGCUUCCCAUUACAAGUGAUGUGCCUGAAGGGUGCGUGAUUGUAAGGGAACACAUUCCUAUUAGCAACCUAUUUACUUGCCUUUGGUUCAACGAAGUUGACCGUUUUACUUCCAGGGAUCAAAUAAGUUUUUCCACCGUAAGAGAUAAGAUUAGAGCAAAGACAAAUUGGACCGUCAAUAUGUUUUUGGACUGUGAAAGGCGCAACUUUGUAGUUCAGGGGUACCAUAGAGAUGUACUAGAGCACAUGGCUUCUUCAGUGGCUCUGCCUCCCCCUCUUGUGCUGGCUGUUGAGCCCCCACCAUUGGUUAAUAAACUGCCUGUGCCACGCCCACCGCCACCGCCUCCUGAGAUCUCAACUGUGAGGGUUGUAAGUAAUCCAGUCACAAGGGUCCCAGCAAAGCGCAACAGAGAAAGGAGAUCCAGUUCAAAGCGUCACCGGAAAGUUGUGGCCGGUGCUAAGGGCAUUGAUUCGAGUUAAAAUUUUGUUAAGUUCAAUGGAUCAGUGGAGUGCGGUAGUAUUGCUGAUGGCAGUGAAGAGUUGGAAGUAGAGUGAAAUGGUUGAGGUGGCCAAGUAACAGCAGCAAUGGUGACAAUGCAUUAGUAGCAGUGGUGGGACAGGAAAUGAUGUAGGUAUAAAAUCCAGACUCAGUGGAUCAAAAGAAGGGGACACCAGGAAUUGUAUGGCAGGAUCAUGGAUCUCUCUCCAGCAGUAGAUAUCUCCUACAACCUACCAACUCAAAGGAGUGUUCAACUAAAAGAAUUUGCAGUGGUGAGUAAGUUGAUGAACACCCGCAUCAUUUGAGCAGACAUGAGCUUUGCCAAGUUGCCAAAGCCAACUGGUGGUAGCAUCGACAGAAGGGGUGAGAACCUGCUUCAGCGGGCAAUUUGGGUCCGUUGGUGGAAGGCUGAGCUCAAUUGCAAUGGGCUUAAGAGUUCCUACUGUGGUCAGGAAGAAGAGCGUGCGUGUUCCAUAGGCUUUCCGGUCAUCAAGGGCAUUUAUCCGAUUGAGAAAUGGAAGAUAAAUGUCGUGAUAGUCCAGUAUGAACAACUUGUUUUCAUUGAGUGCCUGAAAAAAAAAAAGGAUACCAAGAAAGUUAAACUAUACUAUGUGUACUAAAAAAAUGAUAAUUUUGUGAUACAAGAAAUUAAUUUCCCUUGGGAAAAUUAUGAAGUUUGACCUAUUAUUGUUUGUGUUGGUAA